rfam:Haemophilus pittmaniae HK 85 ctg1129913985424, whole genome shotgun sequence.
ACAAAAGUCUUUUUUAAGACUAUCAAUAAAAUCAAUAACUUAGCUU